CCUUGCCGAGGCCGGUGCGCUUGAUGGUCUUGAGAUACUGCUUCGGGAUGAUCAUGUCGGUGUCGACGUUGAUGAUCUUCAGGGGCGCGGCGACGCCUUCGAGUGUCGUAAACUUGUCCAUGAUGUUCCCGUGAACCGGAUGUAAUUUGAGCUGUUCUAAAUAUACCAUCACCGCCGUCAAGGCUAUGCGCUGAGGGAGGACACAUCAUGAACGCCAUGCGCUGCGGCCGCCUGCCGGAGCUGGUUUUUCUGGCGGGAAUGAUGGUUUUGCUGAUGCCUCUGGGCGACGCUCAUGCUGAGAUGUGGUGCAUACGCGAUUUCGGCAGCGACAGGCCCGUCUGCAUAUUCGCCACGGCGCGGGAUUGCACGUCGGCUGCGGUGAUCCGGGGCGGCAUCUGUGAACGCGAGUCGCUCGUGUCCCGAAAACCGGCGCCACGGAUCAGGUGACGG
rnacentral:misc_RNA from 1 species